rnacentral:rRNA from 1 species
CUGGCGGCAUGCCUUACACAUGCAAGUCGAACGGCAGCACGGGUGCUUGCACCUGGUGGCGAGUGGCGAACGGGUGAGUAAUAUAUCGGAACGUGCCCUAGAGUGGGGGAUAACGUAGCGAAAGUUACGCUAAUACCGCAUACGAUCUACGGAUGAAAGUGGGGGAUCGCAAGACCUCAUGCUCAUGGAGCGGCCGAUAUCUGAUUAGCUAGUUGGUGGGGUAAAAGCCUACCAAGGCUACGAUCAGUAGCUGGUCUGAGAGGACGACCAGCCACACUGGGACUGAGACACGGCCCAGACUCCUACGGGAGGCAGCAGUGGGGAAUUUUGGACAAUGGGGGCAACCCUGAUCCAGCAAUGCCGCGUGUGUGAAGAAGGCCUUCGGGUUGUAAAGCACUUUUGUCAGGAACGAAACGGUGGAGGCUAAUACCUUCUGCUAAUGACUGUACCUGAAGAAUAAGCACCGGCUAACUACGUGCCAGCAGCCGCGGUAAUACGUAGGGUGCGAGCGUUAAUCGGAAUUACUGGGCGUAAAGCGUGCGCAGGCGGUUGUGCAAGACAGAUGUGAAAUCCCCGGGCUCAACCUGGGAAUUGCAUUUGUGACUGCACGGCUAGAGUGUGUCAAAAGGGGGUAGAAUUC